GUAAUUUCUAACCCUACCUGCUCUAAUUCCCUCACUCUGGAUAAAAGCGUCUAAAUUGUCUAUAUGUAACUGGGAUAUUAUGGGAUGGGCUGGGAGUCCCAUCUGGCCCGGCCCUGAGCUAGGAGCCAAGGCGCUACCCAGAAGGCACUCUGUUGUGGCGUGAUGCGGGAGCGUUGUCGAGGAGACGUGGGGAGACAUCCUGCCCGGGGAGAGAGAUGAGGAGGAGGAGAGGUCCCUCACGGCAUCACAGGCUGGAGGUGGUGGUGCAGACUGGGCUCCAUGGACCAGAGCUCACAGCUCCACGGUGAUGACACAUGAAGGUCCAGGUGGGGGGGGAUGCUGACGGGGAAACGACAGCUAGUAGAAUCUAUCAGCUGGGAGUCGUUACACGUCCUCUAUCUCACUUCCCCUUUUACCAUUUCAUCGGAAUCCCGGCCAUUUGAAUAGUAAAAUAGGCAUUCAUUCAUUCAACCAUUCAUUCAUUCAUUCAUUCAUUCAUUCAUUCAUUCAUUCAUUCAUUCAUCCAUUCAUUCCGUAGCCUCCACAGUUCUGUUCCAGAGUGAGAGCUCUCUGACUGUUGGGGAAACAAUCCGAAAGUCACUGAAGGCUUUCCAUACGCUGUAGAUGGUGCAUAGUAGGUAGGGGUUAGAUAGUACCGAGACAGUCAUUAAGGAGCAGGUAGGGGUUAGACAGUACAGAGACAGGUCAUUAAGGAGCAGGUAGGGGUUAGACAGUACAGAGACAGGUCAUUAAGGAGCAGGUAGGGGUUAGACAGUACAGAGACAGGUCAUUAAGGAGCAGGUAGGGGUUAGACAGUACAGAGACAGGUCAUUAAGGAGCAGGUAGGGGUUAGACAGUUCACAGACAGAUCAUUAAGGAGGAGGUAGGAUGUAU
ensembl:lncRNA